CUCGGAGUUUGAUCCUGGCUCAGAUUGAACGCUGGCGGCAGGCCUAACACAUGCAAGUCGAGCGGUUGACGGGAGCUUGCUCCCUGAUUCAGCGGCGGACGGGUGAGUAAUGCCUAGGAAUCUGCCUAUUAGUGGGGGACAACGUUUCGAAAGGAACGCUAAUACCGCAUACGUCCUACGGGAGAAAGCAGGGGACCUUCGGGCCUUGCGCUAAUAGAUGAGCCUAGGUCGGAUUAGCUAGUUGGUGAGGUAAAAGCUCACCAAGGCGACGAUCCGUAACUGGUCUGAGAGGAUGAUCAGUCACACUGGAACUGAGACACGGUCCAGACUCUACGGGAGCAGCAGUGGGGAAUAUGGAC
rnacentral:rRNA from 1 species